rnacentral:sRNA from 1 species
UUUUGGAAGAAGGUAGUUAGAAGCUUCGACGCGAUUGCUAUUCUUUGAGCUUUCUCCUUGGGUGAAAAAUACUUUUUGUUGGUUACUGAUGAGAAAAGUUUUCUCUACCAGUUGUAUUAUGAAUCUAUUCUUUUAACUAUCAAACAUUUGGCCCUCUAUUUUUUUGGUCGUUGUCGCUAGUUAAGCGAUUGAGAAAAGAAGAGGCUCAACGACUGAAGUUAAUGAUUUCGUAACACCGUGAUGUCUAAUACUUAUUACUAAAGCAAUUAAACUAGUGA